rnacentral:rRNA from 1 species
GACGUAGGGCGCAAGCGUUGUCCGGAAUUAUUGGGCGUAAAGAGCUCGUAGGCGGCUUGUUGCGUCGACUGUGAAAACCCGUGGCUCAACCAUGUGGUCUGCAGUCGAUACGGGCAGGCUAGAAUUCGGUAGGGGAGACUGGAAUUCCUGGUGUAGCGGUGAAAUGCGCAGAUAUCAGGAGGAACACCGAUGGCGAAGGCAGGUCUCUGGGCCACUACUGACGCUGAGAAGCGAAAGCGUGGGGAGCGAACAGG